rnacentral:miRNA from 1 species
CAGCAGAGUAGGGAGCAAAAGA